UUUAUGAUCACUCUCGUUUUG
rnacentral:miRNA from 1 species